rnacentral:rRNA from 1 species
CUCUAUGGUCAUGCCAACCUGAACACACCCGAUCUUGUCUAAUCUCGGAAGCUAAGCAGGGUCGGGCCUGGACAGUACUUGGAUGGGAGACCACCUAGGAAGACUGGGUGCUGUAGGUG